rnacentral:rRNA from 1 species
AUACGGAGGGAGCUAGCGUUGUUCGGAAUUACUGGGCGUAAAGCGUACGCAGGCGGCUUGGUAAGUAGAGGGUGAAAUCCCAGAGCUCAACUCUGGAACUGCCCCCUAAACUGCCGAGCUAGAAUCCUGGAGAGGUGAGUGGAAUUCCUAGUGUAGAGGUGAAAUUCGUAGAUAUUAGGAAGAACACCAGUGGCGAAGGCGACUCACUGGACAGGUAUUGACGCUGAGGUACGAAAGCGUGGGGAGCGAACAGGAUUAGAAACCCCUGUAGUCC